AGGGGUUGGAGGGAAUGGUCAAUGGUUUGGUGCUCGUGGGUUCUUUGGUUUGGCUGAAUUGGUGGUAGAUUUGCUUUGAGCUUUGUUGAGAUUGGGUUUUUGGUUUGGUUUGGUUUUGUUUUGUUUAUGAGUGCUUUUUGAGGGGGAUUUGGAGUGGGAAUGUGUUGGGGGACAAUGGGUGUUGUUAGGAGAGGAGGGGUUGGGCAUUUGCUUUAAUAAGGGGAGUAGAGAAGCAAGAGAUCUGGAUGAGAGGAUGAGUGAGCACACAUCAUUUCUCUCUUGCUUCCUGUUGGGUAGGAUGUGGUAUUCCCCACCAGCUGACCCAACAACUCCUGCAAACUGUGCCUGGUUUGGAUUCUACUGGAAUGAGAAUUUUGGUUGUUUUUU
rnacentral:lncRNA from 1 species